AACGCACAUUGCGCCCUUUGGUAUUCCGAGGGGCAUGCCUGUCCGAGCGUCAUUCACGUCCACUCAAGCCCCGGCUUGGUGUUGGGCGGCGGGGGCCCCCUCUUCUGGCGCCCCCCGCGCCCCAAUUCCCCCGGCCGGACCGCCCGAUCGCCAGCGUUGUGGUAUUCAAUCCGCUCGCGGGAGGGAGGUGCGCCGUGCCGUCAGAAAACCCGUCCUUUUGGAAACUUCGGGUGGACCUCGGAUCAGGUAGGGAUACCCGCUGAACUUAA
rnacentral:misc_RNA from 1 species